GGACUCAUCAGACCCCUGGCGGCAGCUUCGGAGGUCCCAAGAAUUCCCAAGGCGCAUGUACGUGCCCUAGAAGUUCCCUACAAAGAUUUCCCUUAGGUCGUUCCAAUUCCGGAUCCGACCUGAUGGAAGGUGUUCCAGGCAGACUCGUGCUGAGUCGGCUAAGAAUAGAGGGAGGUUGCGGAUGAUGAGGUCGUCAUCUGCCCCACCUGCCUGACAGGCAAGCCGGUAGUCACUGAGCCAAAGCCCUUGGGUUGGUCUCCCCGGAGUACUUGGCCACGUUGGUGGGCUGCCUGAAACGUGCCGGGGAUAGCGCGUUCAGGAUAAGUGCGGAGAAGGCCCUGGGCCCGACUGGGUUGGGGCUCGGGCUCCACUCUUCUUCGCUGUCGUAGCGGUCACCGCGGUGUACGUGAUAAACGCGAUUGGCUCCGUCCUCCCUAUCCACGCGGGACCGCCUUCGUGCGUCCAGGGUGUCACGGGCGUCAUGGAUGGGACCAACGCGCUGGUGGAUAGAUGGGGCUCCGCCACCUGCAGGUGGUGGGGUCCGUCGAGCGGGCGCGGCCUGGUUCCCCCCGGGGGGAGGCUGGUGGACAGACUCCCCAUGCCUUUCGGGAGGUGCGGUAGGCGCUUCCCUGCUGGCGUUGUGCCGACGUUGUCGGGACGCAGAGCUCUGCGCCUACUGGACUACGG
rnacentral:lncRNA from 1 species